GAGAGAUAAAUGCCUUGUAACCCACUAGCUCUAAUUCUUUCAAUUAGAGGGAGAUGCUACACCUGCCCUUGUAUAUUGGAGCACCCCCUAUUUGAAUAAGGCAUCUGAGUAAGACUAGCGUCUCCUUCAUUCCCAAGAUAUGCUCAACAAUGGCCUGCUUCCUAUCUUCCGAAACUUUACCAAAAACUACCAACCAUACUUUUCCUUCGUUUUCAAUCGAUUAAUCUAGUUCAGCAGCAGAGACAUAGCGAAUUACUACUAAACCUACGGCACAAAGAAGGUUACCCCCGCCCAUAGACUAGGACAAACUAAUGAAUUUUCAACCACGGGGAAUCAUAUAAUUACUCUAGUUCACCAGCAUUCCUAUAGUUCAACCUUACUAUCACCAACAGGAGCAAUCAAGGGACCUACUCGGCUAUGAUCUACACAUACGAUGAAGCGGAUGUGUACAAAUAAGGGUCCGAGGCGAUGGGCAUGUAGCGAGAUAAACCACUGGAUGGGUUCG
rnacentral:misc_RNA from 1 species